rfam:Oryza glumipatula chromosome 1, whole genome shotgun sequence.
UUUAAGUGAAGCCAUAAGUUUCCACGCCCAAUUUUGAUCAUCCGACUUAUUUGAAAUUUUUUUAUAAUUAGUAUUUUUGUUGUUAUGAAAUGAUAAAGCAUAAAUAGUACUUUACUCCUAACUUAUGUUUUUAAUUUUUUUUAAAAGUUUUUUAAAUAAAACGGACGGUUAAAAUUAGGCGCGAAAAACUAAAACUGUAUUUAAA